ACAGGGAGGUAGUGACAAGAAAUAACAAUACAGGACUUUUUGGUUUUGUAAUUGGAAUGAGUUAAGUAUAAACCCCUUUACAAGUAUCAAUUGGAGGGCAAGUCUGGUGCCAGCAGCCGCGGUAAUUCCAGCUCCAAUAGCGUAUAUUAAAGUUGUUGCAGUUAAAAAGCUCGUAGUUGGAUUUCUGUUAAUAAUUUAUAUAAAAUAUUUUGAUGAAUAUUUAUAUAAUAUUAACAUAAUUCAUAUUACUAUAUAUUUUAGUAUAUGAAAUUUUACUUUGAGAAAAUUAGAGUGCUUAAAGCAGGCAUAUGCCUUGAAUACUCCAGCAUGGAAUAAUAUUAAAGAUUUUUAUCUUUCUUAUUGGUUCUAAGAUAAGAAUAAUGAUUAAUAGGGACAGUUGGGGGCAUUUGUAUUUAACAGUCAGAGGUGAAAUUCUUAGAUUUGUUAAAGACAAACUAAUGCGAAAGCAUUUGCCAAGGAUGUUUUCAUUAAUCAAGAACGAAAGUUAGGGGAUCGAAGACGAUCAGAUACCGUCGUAGUCUUAACCGUAAACUAUGCCAACUAGAGAUUGGAGGUUGUUCCUUACUCCUU
rnacentral:rRNA from 1 species